rnacentral:lncRNA from 1 species
CAUGGAUCUAGCUGGAGGCCAUUAUUUUAAGCGAAUUAAUGCAGGAACAGAAAAGCAAAUACUGCAUGUUUUUAUUUAUAAGUGGGAGCUAAACAUUGAGUACUCAUGGACAUAGAGAUGGCAACAGUAUAAACUGGGGACUACUGGUGGGGGAGGGAGAGAGGAGAGCAAGUGUUGAAAAACUACUGGGGACUAUAAUCAGUACGUAGGUGACAGGAUCAUUGGUACUGCAAACCUCAGCAUCAUGGAGUAUACCCAGUCAUCAUACCUGCACAUGUACCUCCUGAAUCUAAGAUAGAAAAAAACAAGGGUGGAAA